rnacentral:rRNA from 1 species
UACGAAGGGUGCAAGCGUUACUCGGAAUUACUGGGCGUAAAGGGUGCGUAGGUGGUCGUUUAAGUCCGUUGUGAAAUCCCUGGGCUCAACCUGGGAAGUGGCACCGAUACGAGCGGCCUCGAGGGGGGUAGGGGGUCUGGAAGCUUCCGGUGGAGCGGUGAAAUGCGUUGAGAUCGGAAGGAACGCCCGUGGCGAAAGCGAGGCCCUGGACCCUUACUGACGCUGAGACGCGAAGCCAGG